CAGACAGAACCAUCACGGAGGAUCAACCCAACCCCAGUCAGUGCAGAGCGGCCUCACUCCAGACCUAAGACUUUCACUUCCACCCCGUUCAGCACCAGGCCCUCCAGCCCUUCCCAGUCCCAGAGGCAGUCACUGGGGCCCUAAACGUCAAUGUGGGCAGCCCCCCUCUGUCUGCAGGAGGAGUGAGAACUGCUAAAGAGAGAGAACUGCUGACGUCUAGAACACCAUCCGUCACAGAGGAAGAGGAGGAAGAUCUAAGUCUAGAGAAGUCAGAUGUCCUGGAAAGAGGUUACUACAGAAAUAUGCACAACUGUGUCUACUUCUCUGUCAGGGUGCUGGAGAAUCAGUUUGAGUGAGUUCCCCCUUACUUCUUUAUUGUCAAAUGAUACUGAAUGUUUAAGACUUGAAUCCUAUGAUAAUGUUGCUCUGUAUAAUGUGUUUGUAUAUGUUUUACUGCAGCUGCACUCUUGGCUAGUUCUCCCUUGAAAAAGAGGUAGUUUGACAUCAAUGUGAGAACCUGCUAAAAUAAACCCCAUCAGUCCUGAGACCCCAGCAAAAAUAAUAUUUGUAUUUCUCUGACGUUCAUUGAUCUGCAUGUCCAGCCCUUAUAUUUAGCCUCACAUUGAAGUGUUUUACCGUGUUCUUUUCAGGACAACCAGGGCUACAAGUGGAACACAAAACUAUUUGACAUAAACAAUUGCAAUGAUGAGUUCUAUUGAAAAUUGUAAAUAAAAAAAUGUCAGCCAAAGCAAA